rnacentral:rRNA from 1 species
UACGGGGGGUGCGAGCGUUGUCCGGAAUCACUGGGCGUAAAGGGCGCGUAGGUGGUUUGAUAAGGGUGUGGUGAAAGUCCGGGGCUCAACCCCGGAUCUGCCGUGCCGACUGUCAAACUCGAGGGCUGUAGAGGCAGACGGAAUUCCGGGUGUAGCGGUGGAAUGCGUAGAGAGUCCGGAGGAAGACCGGUGGCGAAGGCGGUCUGCUGGGCAGUUUCUGACACUGAGACA